AGAGUUUGAUCCUGGCUCAGGAUGAACGCUGGCGGCGUGCUUAACACAUGCAAGUCGAACGAGCCUUCGGGCUAGUGGCGGACGGGUGAGUAACGCGUGGGAAUCUGCCCUCAGGAGGGGGAUAACGGCCGGAAACGGCCGCUAAUACCCCAUAUGCCGAGAGGUGAAACGAAAUUCGCCUGGGGAUGAGCCCGCGUCUGAUUAGCUAGUUGGUGUGGUAAUGGCGCACCAAGGCAUCGAUCAGUAGCUGGUCUGAGAGGAUGAUCAGCCACACUGGGACUGAGACACGGCCCAGACUCCUACGGGAGGCAGCAGUGGGGAAUUUUCCGCAAUGGGCGCAAGCCUGACGGAGCAACGCCGCGUGAGGGACGAAGGCCUCUGGGCUGUAAACCUCUUUUCUCAAGGAAGAAGACAUGACGGUACUUGAGGAAUAAGCCACGGCUAAUUCCGUGCCAGCGGCCGCGGUAAUACGGGAGUGGCAAGCGUUAUCCGGAAUUAUUGGGCGUAAAGCGUCCGCAGGCGGCCUUGAAAGUCUGUUGUUAAAGCGUGGAGCUCAACUCCAUUUCAGCAAUGGAAACUACAAGGCUAGAGUGUGGUAGGGGCAGAGGGAAUUCCCGGUGUAGCGGUGAAAUGCGUAGAUAUCGGGAAGAACACCAGUGGCGAAGGCGCUCUGCUGGGCCAUAACUGACGCUCAUGGACGAAAGCCAGGGGAGCGAAAGGGAUUAGAUACCCCUGUAGUCCUGGCCGUAAACGAUGAACACUAGGUGUCGGGAGAAUUAACCCUUUCGGUGUCGUAGCCAACGCGUUAAGUGUUCCGCCUGGGGAGUACGCACGCAAGUGUGAAACUCAAAGGAAUUGACGGGGGCCCGCACAAGCGGUGGAGUAUGUGGUUUAAUUCGAUGCAACGCGCAGAACCUUACCACCCCUUGACAUGGGUAUCGCGGACUCUGAGAGGAGUCUUUCAGUUCGGCUGGAUACCACACAGGUGCUGCAUGGCUGUCGUCAGCUCGUGUCGUGAGAUGUUGGGUUAAGUCCCGCAACGAGCGCAACCCUCGCUACUAGUUGCCAGCAUUCAGUUGGCCACUCUAGUGGAACCGCCGGUGAUAAGCCGGAGGAAGGUGGGGAUGACGUCAAGUCCUCAUGGCCCUUACGGGGUGGGCUACACACGUGCUACAAUGGCAGUGACAAUGGGUUAAUCCCAAAAAACUGUCUCAGUCCGGAUUGUCGGCUGCAACUCGCCGGCAUGAAGUCGGAAUCGCUAGUAAUCGCGUAACAGCAUGACGCGGUGAAUACGUUCCCGGGCCUUGUACACACCGCCCGACACACCAUGGGAGUUGGGUUUACCCGAAGACGGUGCGCCAACCUUCGGGAGGUAGCCGGCCACGGUAAGCUCAGCGACUGGGGUGAAGUCGGAACAAGGUA
rnacentral:rRNA from 1 species